AUACCCUAUUAUUUUUAGUGUAAAAUUAGUUGGCCUGAGUAGUAAUAGAUAUAAUCUUUAAACUUAAAGAAUUUGGCGGUAUUAUAGUCUAUUUAGAGGAAUCUGUUAUGUAAUCGAUAGUCCACGUUGAACCUUACUUAUAUUAUUUCUUGUAUAUCGCUGUUUAGAAAAUACUUUUAGGUGUAAUAUUUUCUUGAUAAUAAGUAACUAAUAAUUCAAGUCAAGGUGCAGUAAUAUAUAAGUUGAAUAAUGGAUUACAAUAAAUUUUAUUUAAAUGGAUAAUGAAUUUAAUUUUAUUUUGAAGGUGGAUUUAAGAGUAAUUUUAUAAAGAUUAAUAAAAUGAUUUUUAGCUCUAUAAUAUGUACACAUCGC
rnacentral:rRNA from 1 species